UGAACACACAGGGAGCUGCCUGCCUCUGC
rnacentral:piRNA from 1 species